AUGCUUACCUGGCAGGGUAGAUACCAUGAUCACGAAGGUGGUUUUCCCAGGGCGAGGCUUAUCCAUUGCACUCCGGAUGUGCUGACCCCUGCAAUUUCCCCAAAUGUGGGAAACUCGACUGCACAAUUUGUAGUGGGGGGGACUGUGUUCGCGCGCUCCCCUG
rnacentral:snRNA from 1 species